rnacentral:rRNA from 1 species
ACAUGAAGCUGGAAUCGCUAGUAAUCGCGGAUCAGCAUGCCGCGGUGAAUACGUUCCCGGGCCUUGUACACACCGCCCGUCACACCACGAGAGUUUGUAACACCCGAAGUCGGUGGGGUAACCUUUUGGAGCCAGCCGCCUAAGGUGGGACAGAUGAUUGGGGUGAAGUCGUAACAAGGUAGCCGUAUCGGAAGGUGCGGCUGGAUCACCUCCUUUCUA